UACGGAGGGAGCUAGCGUUGUUCGGAAUUACUGGGCGUAAAGCGCACGUAGGCGGCUAUUCAAGUCGGGGGUGAAAGCCCGGGGCUCAACCCCGGAAUUGCCCUCGAAACUAGAUAGCUAGAAUCUUGGAGAGGUCAGUGGAAUUCCGAGUGUAGAGGUGAAAUUCGUAGAUAUUCGGAAGAACACCAGUGGCGAUGGCGACUGACUGGACAAGUAUUGACGCUGAGGUGCGAAAGCGUGGGGAGCAAACAGG
rnacentral:rRNA from 1 species